rnacentral:tRNA from 1 species
GCGGAAGUAGCUCAGCGGUAGACCCUCGCCUUGCCAAGGCGAGGGUCGCGAGUUCGAAUCUUGCUGUCCGCUCCA